rnacentral:lncRNA from 1 species
GCACAUGAGUGAUCGGGAUUUGGGCCCUCGCCCUGGGGAUCCUGGCCCGGCCCCAGAGGGGUUUUCACGUCGUGCACUUGCAGGACGUCGGGGGCGCUGCCGCUUAGGCCGCUAAGGGUCUGCUGCGCAAUGUCGUGAGAUGAUAGGUAGACCAGGUCCAGGUCUCUGGGGCUCAGGGCAUCGCUGGAGUCGUAGUCACUGUUGGUGGGGAGGAAGACUUCUGAGCAGGCUUCUUCAUCAGAGCAGGGCUGUGAAUCUGCGAAGCCAGAAACUGAGAGAUGAUUUUUGCAUUUGACAAAGUAGCAGGAAUUUAAAAGGGUGAACGAAGAAGAGGAGACUCCGUUUGCCUGUAACUAGAUGUGUUGGAUGAGGUCAUGGAGCAACCUUGGAGAUAGAAGCCACAUGCUAGGAUGGUGGGGCUGAAAAAUAGAGCUUGUUGCCUGAAGACCAUUACGUCUGCAUAUCAACCUUGAAUUGUCUCCUUUUGAGCUUCUUUCACACAAGAGAGAAAGUAUCUUGUGUUUAUGACAUUCUUAUUUGGGUCUUUGGUAACACGAACCCAAAAUUUAUCCUAACCAAUA